GAUGAACGCUGGCGGCGUGCCUAAUACAUGCAAGUCGAGCGAACAGACGAGGAGCUUGCUCCUCUGACGUUAGCGGCGGACGGGUGAGUAACACGUGGAUAACCUACCUAUAAGACUGGGAUAACUUCGGGAAACCGGAUCUAAUACCGGAUAAUAUAUUGAACCGCAUGGUUCAAUAGUGAAAGACGGUUUUGCUGUCACUUAUAGAUGGAUCCGCGCCGCAUUAGCUAGUUGGUAAGGUAACGGCUUACCAAGGCAACGAUGCGUAGCCGACCUGAGAGGGUGAUCGGCCGCACUGGAACUGAAACACGGUCCAGACUCCUACGGGAGGCAGCAGUAGGGAAUCUUGCGCAAUAGGCGAAAGCCUGACGGAGCAACGCCGCGUGAGUGAUGAAGGUCUUCGGAUCGUAAAACUCUGUUAUUAGGGAAGAACAAAUGUGUAAGUAGCUAUGCACGUCUUGACGGUACCUAAUCAGAAAGCCACGGCUAACUACGUG
rnacentral:rRNA from 1 species